rnacentral:pre_miRNA from 1 species
GCUGGUUUCAUAUGGUGUCUUAGAUUGUACCAGUGCUGACUCUAGCACCAUUUGAAAUCAGUGUU